CGGCCCUCCUUAAGCCCAAGACGACAAUCCGGUGCCCUUUGUUCAUGUUCCACCUGUAUCCAGGAAUAACAAGAGGUAGCGGAAGCGGCGAAAACAGCAUUCAAGAAAAUUGUCCAAGCAUAGGAGGGGCGGACCGGCGAGAGGCGGGAAGGGAUGCUAUUCGCUUUGGGGCACUUACGUAACAUCUCACUUGCCUCUCUCUCUGUGGAAUGCCAGGAUAGUGUUUGUAAACAGAGCGGCCAUGUGCAAGUGCUCACGUGGAGGAAGCUUUUGAGUUGCUGCCCUCGCUGUCUCACCCCUGAGCAAAACAACCCCCAAUAGCAGACAAGAGGAAAAUCAAUAUU